UACAGAGGUCUCAACCGUUGUUCGGAUUCAUUGGGCGUAAAGGGUGCGUAGGCGGUCGUGCAAGUCGGAUGUGAAAUCUCAGGGCUCAACCCUGAAACUGCAUUCGAUACUGCGUGGCUAGAGUGCUGGAGAGGAGACUGGAAUUUACGGUGUAGCAGUGAAAUGCGUAGAUAUCGUAAGGAAGACCAGUGCGAAGGCGAGUCUCUGGACAGCAACUGACGCUGAGGCACGAAGGCCAGGGGAGCAAACGGG
rnacentral:rRNA from 1 species